GGUAGUCCCAGCUGUAAACGAUGAGUACUAGGUGUCGGGGGUAUCGACCCCCUCGGUGCCGCAGCUAACGCGCUAAGUACUCCGCCUGGGGACUACGGCCGCAAGGCUAAAACUCAAAGGAAUUGACGGGGCCCGCACAAGCAGCGGAGCGUGUGGUUUAAUUCGACGCAACGCGAAGAACCUUACCUGGGUUUGACAUGCACAGGACGCCAGUAGAGAUAUUGGUUCCCUUGUGGCCUGUGUGCAGGUGGUGCAUGGCUGUCGUCAGCUCGUGCCGUGAGGUGUCCUGUUAAG
rnacentral:rRNA from 1 species